rnacentral:rRNA from 1 species
CCUACGGGUGGCAGCAGUAGGGAAUAUUGCGCAAUGGAGGAAACUCUGACGCAGCGACGCCGCGUGGGUGACGAAGGUCUUCGGAUCGUAAAGCCCUGUCGGAAGGGACGAAAGACGUGAUGGCUAAUAUCCAUCACGAGUGACGGUACCUUUAAAGGAAGCACCGGCUAACUACGUGCCAGCAGCCGCGGUAAUACGUAGGGUGCAAGCGUUGUUCGGAAUCAUUGGGCGUAAAGCGCGUGUAGGCGGCUAUUUAAGUCGGGUGUGAAAUCCCUCGGCUCAACCGAGGAAGUGCAUUCGAAACUGGAUAGCUCGAAGAUGGUAGAGGAAGGUGGAAUUCCAAGUGUAGAGGUGAAAUUCGUAGAUAUUUGGAGGAAUACCGGUGGCGAAGGCGGCCUUCUGGGCCACUCUUGACGCUGAGACGCGAAAGCGUGGGUAGCAAACAGGAUUAGAUACCCUUGUAGUC